AUACUUACCUGGCAGGGAAGAUACCAUGAUCACAAAGUUGGUUUCCCCAGGGCCAGGCUUAUACAUUGCACCCUGGGUGCGCUGACCCCUGCAAUUUCCACAAAUGUGGGAAACUCAACUGCUUAAUUUGUGGUAGUGGGAUACUGCAUUCGG
rnacentral:snRNA from 1 species